rnacentral:rRNA from 1 species
GUCGAACGAGAACGGGUUAUAGCUUGCUAUAAUUGUCAGCUAAGUGGCGCACGGGUGAGUAAUGUAUAGGUAAUAUGCCUUUUACUAAGGGAUAACAGAUGGAAACGUUUGCUAAUACCUUAUACUCCGUUUAUGUAUAAAUGUAAAUGGGAAAGAUCUAUCGGUAAGAGAUUGGCCUGUAUUGUAUCAGUUAGUUGGUGGGGUAAUGGCCUACCAAGACAAUGACGCAUAACUGGUUUGAGAGGAUGAUCAGUCACACUGGAACUGAGACACGGUCCAGACUCCUACGGGAGGCAGCAGUGGGGAAUAUUGCACAAUGGACGGAAGUCUGAUGCAGCAACGCCGCGUGGAGGAUGACACAUUUCGGUGCGUAAACUCCUUUUAUAUAAGAAGAUAAUGACGGUAAUAUAUGAAUAAGCACCGGCUAACUCC